UUAACUUUGACCCUCUUGAGGAUUAAAUAUCAGGCAAUUUACCAGUGUUGGCAUUUUAAAAUGGUGUGUAGCCCUUGUUGGACUACUUGAGUCCCAUUCAUUCUAGCAGUGUCAUUCCCAGAACUAAAGGCUCCCUCUCUAAGAGUCCCAGCUGCUCACAUUGCCUUUCCACUGCUGCGGGGGCUUUUCCAGUUGUCCUGGUGACCCUCCUCUGCUUCCAGGCCGCACACCAGUCUGUAGAGUGGCUCUUGGCCCCAGCUCUGCCCCUCCUCAGGGCAGCUUCCUCCCCACCCCAGCAGUGUGUACCUUGGGCUGUCGUGUCCGUACUUGCAAAUACAGCUCCCCAUACUGCCCUGCCUGACUCCCUGAGGUCAGGAUGGUUUCUCUUCCAUCAUUCUUGCUCUUGAAGUACCCAGAAAACUCAGUUUUACAUUCCUUUUCUAGAAGAAACUUGGAAAAUAAGUCUCCCGGGGCCUGGCUGGAGGAUACUGCUUGAGGAAUAUUACUCAGAGCAGCAUCUGAGGAGGUUCCUAGACAAGGCGUUUUUUUUUUUUGUUUGUGUGUGGGUAAAAAACACAUAACAUAAACUUACCCUCUUAUUUUUUAGGUGUACAAUACAAUCUUGUCAAAUAAAUGCACAUUGUUGUAAAAUAGAUCUCUACAGCUUUUUCAUCUUGCAUGACUGAAACUAUGCUGAUCAAACUACUCCGUUUCCCUUCCCCCCAGCCCCUGGCUUCCUGGAAACCACCACCUAAGUUGCAAACUUGAAGGUCUGGGGUUCCUCUGAAUCCAUUUUGGGAAAGACAAGUCUCUAGGAGGUUCAGACCAGCUCUUAAAUCAGCUUUGCGAUUUUGACUCUCUCCUGCAGAUAAACACAUGUACUAAAUGUUUCCAUCUACUUCUAAUUUCCAGAAGUAGUAGAAAUUAGUAGAUAUAAUUCAGGUAGAAAGAUGCAUCCAUGAGUGUUUAUUUCUCUUUGAACUGUACAUAUAUUUUAUGUAUGCUCUUUUAUAUAUAUAUUUUGUCAAAAAUUAUUUUUCUCUUGCUUUAAUUCUAAGUAUCAUAGCUUUUACAAUCCACAUACUACUAUUUGGUAAUCUGUGUGAACUCUAGAAAUGGAGAAAUGAGCUCCCUGAAGUUUUAAAUUGUAGUAAGCAAAUUUAAAAAUUGGUCAUGGGAAUUCCCUGGCAGUCCAGUGGUUAGGACUCGGCAUGUUCACUGCCAAGGGACUAGGUUCAAUCCCUGGUUGGGGAACUAAGAUCCCACAAGCCACACAGCAUGGCCAAAAAACAAUGGUCGUGACAGGUUUAUUCUUUUCUCAGUUAUCUACUAUUUUAAACCUGUUUUUUUCCAAGGAUACUUAAAGAGACUGUGAGGCUUGGAACGCAUGUAAAUAUCACUCAGCUGAACUGUGUGCCACAGAGUAAAAAACUUCACGUUCUAUCCUUAUAAGCCUGUGUUCUUUCCAGGAUAUCUAGCAUAGUGGUUAGAGCACAGGGUUGGAAAUCCAGGAGAUCUGUAUUCAAAUCCCCACUUCAUUACUUGUCUGUAUGACAUUGGGUAAAUUGCUUUAGUUCUCGAAGCCUGAGUUUCUGGAUCUGUAGACUAUGGUUUGUUUGGAGAUUUACAUGGUAUAAUACAUGUAAUGCUCUGUAAAUUGCAACCUUUCAUAUAAUACCAGCACCAUUACUAGGUCUGGCCUUGUGAACUAGCAGGCAGAAUGAAUGACUUAUUGAUUUUAGGGGCAGCAAAAAGUCUUCCUACCCUCUACGUUUGUGAUGGGUAAUUUUGUGUGUCAUCUUGCCUGGGCCACACUGUGCCCAGCUGUUUGGUCAAACAUUAUUCUGGGUGUUUGGGGAUGAGACUACCAGUUCAAUUGGUAGACUGAUUAAAGCAGAUUACAUUCCCUAAUGUGGGUGUGCCACGUCCAAUCAGUUGAAGGUCUGAAUGAAAAAAUGGCCAACCCUCCUGAGAGUAAGGGGGAGCUCCUCCUGCCUGACUACCUUAAGCUGGGACAUUGGUCUUUUCCUGCCUUUGGACUCAAACGGAAACAUCAGCUUUUCUUGAGACUUGAGCCUGCUGGCUUUGGACUGGAACUUACACCAUCAUCUCCCCUAGGUCUUCAGCUUGCCAACUGCAGAUCUUAGGACUUCUCAGCUUUCAUAAUUGCCUGAGCCAAUUCCUUAUAAUAAAUACACACACACACACACACACACGCACACACACACACACACACUCUAUUGGUUGCAUUUCUUUGGAGAACCAUACUAAUACAAUUUUGAUGGAUAUUCUUAAAUUUUCACAAUUAAGACAAUAAAAAUGACUAGAAAAACAUCAACCUAAGGACUGGUGUGAGCAUUAAAUAAAGGAUUACUCAUAGAACUAAGACUGAGUGAGGGUUAAAACAGAAAAUAUAGGGCACAAAGGCCAUAUGCUCAUACAGUGUAGCUACAGAAAACUGUAAAAAUGAGAGAAUGGGGAGAACAUAUGUGAAAACUGAGUUUUAACUGUUCUUAGUAAUUACAUUGAUAGUGGUGGUAUUAAUGUUACUCUGAGACUAUUGUGUGUGUGAAGUGAGAUAAAGUAGAUUAUUAUAUUUUUUUAAAAUUAAUUAAUUAAUUAAUUAAUUUUUUG